GAUCCUUGAAUGAAAGAAGGAGAGGAUUUAGGUUUAAGGGUCAUGUGAGGUCUGGGCCAUGAUCAGCAUGUGCAUGUGACUCUAAUCGUGGGUAGGUCCUGUUUUCAAUACAUUAAUAUAUAGAUGUGGUAAUGGUAAUGGUAAUGGUAGGGGCAUUUCCUUUUGGCUUCAAUUGCAUUGCCAUGUUUACAUGGAUUUUGUGAAGCAAACACAUUCCAACAUUUUCAAGCUUUUUAUCCUAUCAUGGGAAGGGUUAACGUUAUUUUGUCCAAUUAGGCAAGAAUCGGUUGUGGAAGAACAUAGAAGCUGAAUUGCAUGUGCCAGUAAAUAUGGAUGAAGCUGUUGAAGAACCUAAGGAAGAAGUUUACGAUGUAAUGAAAGAACCAAGAAAAGAAGAAGUUGAACUGCAAUUGCAAGAAGAUAAGCCUUGUGUAGAAGAAGACAUAAACACCUUGAAUGGUAAUGGUGAUGGCAGAGAAAAUAUUUAUACAAACUUCUAUUAUCCUAUAAAUCGGAACAACUAAUGAACGAAGAGAUGAUGUUGUGGUAGUGAAUUUAAAAGAUAUUUAUUAGCAACUUUAAGUUUUGAAUUUUGUGGCAACAAAUUUACUUAAUAAUAUUGUACAAUAAUUUUUUUUGGGGGCCUCACUGUGAUUUUCGCACAAGGCCUUUAAAAUGCCAGGGUCGGGACUUCCCUUAAAUUGUUUUAUGUACCCCUUGUGAGUGGAAUAUUAUGUGUACCCCAUUGAUUUGAAAAUUUAUAUGAGUGAGGAAAAUACAUAUGGUAACAUCCA